AGACCGAUAGCGAACAAGUACCGUGAGGGAAAGAUGAAAAGCACUUUGGAAAGAGAGUUAAACAGUAUGUGAAAUUGUUAAAAGGGAAACGAUUGAAGUCAGUCGUGCUCUUUGGAUUCAGCCGGUUCUGCCGGUGUACUUCCUUUGAGUGGGGUCAACAUCAGUUUUGAUCGCUGGAUAAAGGCUGGAGGAACGUAGCACCCCCGGGUGAACUUAUAGCCUCCUGUCACAUACAGUGGUUGGGACUGAGGAACGCAGCACGCCUUUAUGGCCGGGAUUCGUCCACGUACGUGCUUAGGAUGUUGACAUAAUGGCUUUAAACGACCCGUCUUGAAACACGGACCAAG
rnacentral:rRNA from 1 species